GGGGGACCUUCGGGCCUCUCGCGUCAGGAUAUGCCUAGGUGGGAUUAGCUAGUUGGUGAGGUAAGGGCUCACCAAGGCGACGAUCCCUAGCUGGUCUGAGAGGAUGAUCAGCCACACUGGAACUGAGACACGGUCCAGACUCCUACGGGAGGCAGCAGUGGGGAAUAUUGCACAAUGGGCGCAAGCCUGAUGCAGCCAUGCCGCGUGUGUGAAGAAGGCCUUCGGGUUGUAAAGCACUUUCAGUCGUGAGGAAGGUAGUGUAGUUAAUAGCUGCAUUAUUUGACGUUAGCGACAGAAGAAGCACCGGCUAACUCCGUGCCAGCAGCCGCGGUAAUACGGAGGGUGCGAGCGUUAAUCGGAAUUACUGGGCGUAAAGCGCAUGCAGGUGGUUUGUUAAGUCAGAUGUGAAAGCCCGGGGCUCAACCUCGGAAUUGCAUUUGAAACUGGCAGACUAGAGUACUGUAGAGGGGGG
rnacentral:rRNA from 1 species